AUCACGUCUCAGCCUUUUGGCUAAGAUCAAGGGAAGGUAUCUGUUCUUACCAGUUUAACGUCUGAUACAUUCGCUAUCUGAGGACAAUAUAUUACAUGGAUUUUUGGAGCAGGGAGAUAGAACAGGAGCUUGUGCCCUCCAUGCCAAGCAUUGACCUGGUAUUGUGGUGCCUCUGGGAAUGGCGCACCACCU